GGAGGGUGCAAGCGUUAUCCGGAUUCACUGGGUUUAAAGGGUGCGUAGGAGGGCAGGUAAGUCAGUGGUGAAAUCUCCAAGCUUAACUUGGAAACUGCCGUUGAUACUAUCUGUCUUGGAUAUUGUGGAGGUAAGCGGAAUAUGUCAUGUAGCGGUGAAAUGCUUAGAUAUGACAUAGAACACCGAUAGCGAAGGCAGCUUGCUACACGAGUAUUGACACUGAGGCACGAAAGCGUGGGGAUCAAACAGGAUUAGAUACCCUGGUAGUCCACGCCCUAAACGAUGGAUACUCGACAUACGCGAUACACAGUGUGUGUCUGAGCGAAAGCAUUAAGUAUCCCACCUGGGAAGUACGACCGCAAGGUUG
rnacentral:rRNA from 1 species